GGAGGACAGCAGGAAAAGCAGCUCUGUGGAAACCACUCAGUGUAACUGCCCAAAGGCCUCGUGGAAAACGCCAAACAGAACCAACCAAAAGAGGUCACGCUCCUGGUUUAGCUGCACAAUGGCUUUCUGCCAAGGUCGUGCUUUGCCAGCAGCUCCACGUGUGCGGGCAGAGAACAGCAAGAACCCUGAAACCUGGCAGUACUGGGCACUCAGGAUCACAACAGCCUGCACAGUAGAGGUAAAUUAGGAUGGUAAACCCAAUGAACCGUGCAAAGUUAACACUCUGCUGGUACCAUCCUUCCUCCAAUUUUUGACCAGUGAAAGAUUGCAACUGGAGAUGAAAGCAAUACUUUUUCUAUUGUAGUCUUCUGGAAGAUACUAAAAAAAAAAAAAAAAAAAAAAGUAAAAAUUCUACUACCAGGAAUAGAAAUAUUAAGCUUACAUGUGACUGCUCUUGUAGCAAAAAGAGCUGUAGAAACUAGUUGCUUGGAAGCUGGCUCAUAAUUGUGAAAGGCUAUGCUAUUUGCUUGAAUGUGCAAACCAAAAUGCAACUACUAGGCUAGUAAAAAUGAAGAAGGAAUAAAGAUUUAAAAAGCAAACAUGAGAAGGAGGAUGCCUGAAGAUGAAGCUUUCUCCACAGCAGGCUAUAGCAAGUGGGUAGCGUGGCAGGUUCCUCUCUCAGCUUACACAGAGCUGAAUUAACCCCUGCUCUUUGCAUGUAAUAGCAAAGAACCUGGCCAGAGGAAGCAUUAAGAACAUUAGAAAUAUUUCCAAGACUAUUACUUAAUUAUUCAUUCUCCUUUAUUUUUUUGUGCUUCUAAGACAAGAUUUUCCAGCAAUUAUUGCUACAUGUUUUUCCCUAUUUUUCAAGGACUUAGGAAACAGGGGCAGCCAGCCAUUGGGUAAGCUGGCAACACCCCAGCCUUCCCGAGGCUGCUUUGCAUGUAACACAAACUGUGUUUUAUCAUCACAGAGUUGGAGUUGCAGUUCAUAGCUUAACAGUAAUGAAGUGAUGCACUUUGGUACACGUGGACUGCAGUCAAAAAAAAAUUCCUCUGAUAUUUCUUUCCUCCUCCUCCUUCCCUGUUUCCAUCUACUGGGAAAAAACUUGCAAGCAACAGGAAAAUAAACAACCUCAAAACCCUCACCAAAAACGCCCCAGCCCAAACCCUUCAUUUGGUUCAGGUAUACAGAAAAGUGAGCCCCAAGUAGCAGAACUUGCAAUUGGGAGGAGCAAUCAAAAACCUUCCAUUGCUACCACCAUGUUCAGUCUCCACAGCAGCAGGAGAUAUACUCACCUAGGGCAGCUCUCUGGUGCACCCCAUGCCAUUGCCUUACCACUCCAACACUAUUUAAAUUUUUAACUUUUUACCUAAUUUAAACCAUCUCACCCCUUGCUGAGUUUUACAGGAGCUUGCAUCCAUCCUUUACACUCCCUUGAACAUCUACAGGGAUA